rnacentral:rRNA from 1 species
AACGAACGCUGGCGGCAGGCCUAACACAUGCAAGUCGAGCGGGGGAGCAAUCCCUAGCGGCGGACGGGUUAGUAACGCGUGGGAACGUGCCCAAAGGUACGGAAUAGCCUCGGGAAACUGAGAGUAAUACCGUAUGUGCCCCUCGGGGGAAAGAUUUAUCGCCUUUGGAUCGGCCCGCGUUGGAUUAGGUAGUUGGUGGGGUAAUGGCCCACCAAGCCGACGAUCCAUAGCUGGUUUGAGAGGAUGAUCAGCAACACUGGGACUGAGACACGGCCCAGACUCCUACGGGAGGCAGCAGUGGGGAAUCUUAGACAAUGGGGGAAACCCUGAUCUAGCCAUGCCGCGUGAGCGAUGAAGGCCUUAGGGUUGUAAAGCUCUUUCAGAUGGGAAGAUAAUGACGGUACCAUCAGAAGAAGCCCCGGCUAACUCCGUG